rnacentral:rRNA from 1 species
AGAGCGAACGCUGGCGGCAGGCCUAACACAUGCAAGUCGAACGGACUCUUCGGAGUUAGUGGCGGACGGGUGAGUAACACGUGGGAACGUGCCUUUAGGUUCGGAAUAGCUCCUGGAAACGGGUGGUAAUGCCGAAUGUGCCCUUCGGGGGAAAGAUUUAUCGCCUUUAGAGCGGCCCGCGUCUGAUUAGCUAGUUGGUGAGGUAAAGGCUCACCAAGGCUACGAUCAGUAGCUGGUCUGAGAGGAUGACCAGCCACAUUGGGACUGAGACACGGCCCAAACUCCUACGGGAGGCAGCAGUGGGGAAUCUUGCGCAAUGGGCGAAAGCCUGACGCAGCCAUGCCGCGUGAAUGAUGAAGGUCUAGGAUUGUAAAAUUCUUUCAGUAGGGACGAUAAUGACGGUACCUACAGAAGAAGCCCGGCUAACUCGUGCCAGCAGCCGC